GGGGUUGUGGCUCAGUGGUAGAGUGCUUGCCUAGCAUGCAUGAGGCACUGGGCUCCAUCCUCAGCACCA
rfam:Ictidomys tridecemlineatus contig010972, whole genome shotgun sequence.